ACAUCCAAACUCCCCUCUCUCUUUUCUUUUUGCCUUUGGAUUCAAGCAUCCAUCUUCUAAAUCCUCUGUUGGCCGAAUUUCUUCCAAAUCUUUUAGAUUUACUUUGUCACUUUCACUCUCUCUAUAUCUAUUCAAAUACCUCUUCAUUGGACCACAAUAAUCAUCAAACCCUAGAGUUCCCAAAGCCAAAAACAUGGUCGUUGUUCACAAUUUUCCGUCGGUGUUUCCAACACUUCUCCGAAGCUUUGCAGGUUACAAAUCCAAUGAACUCAGAUACCCAUUUCUUCAAGGACAGUUACUAGCCUUCCCCAAAUUCCCAAAUUCUAAAAUCAUAUUUGUGCUCGAAUCAGAGAAGCCCAAAAUCACCAUAGCCUGGAAUUUUCCAUACUGAGUUUGAUACUUGAAGCCUUUUUUGCCUGCAAAUACUUGGUUUUUCUUAAGGUUUGGAUCUUGAUCGCUAUAAUAGCAAUCUGGUUUGUUCUCCUUUCCCACUCUAUUUCUUCUGCUUUGAGUUUUACUGAUUGAAAAUUUGAUUUUGACUUGCGGAUUAGAUGCACUUUUAGUAUAUCGAGUGGUUAGAAUUGCAAAUUUGGCUAUGGAGUUGAAUGAAUGAUGCUUCAAUUGUGAUUUUCUUGUUUGCUUUGAUUUGAAUAGGUCAAAUGGUUGUAUUCCUUGUAAUUUGUCAACGGCUAAUGUAACAAGACUCAUUAUUUGGUAGCUUCAAGUGAUGUUAAUUUAACAAACUUACUGAUUUUGUAUGUGUACUGGUCCCUAUAAUAAUUUUAUAAUGUUAAAAACAAAUCAGUAUUAACGCACUAAUAGAAAUAUGGAGCGAGAUUUAAUUUGUGUGUAAUCAGAUUACAAAAUAUAAUCAAUUAACUAGGCUUAUUUCCAAAGUAGCAGCUGUUUUUACUUAACUUGUAGUAAGAAUAACAUCAACUUACAUCAAGGGAUAGAUUGAUCAACAAUGAAAUGGGCAAAGAAACUUUGCAAUAGUUUUCUUCUUAAAUGUUCACUUGAAUUAGUUCCAAGACUCCAUUUUUCAAAGAAUUCAAUUAAAGUGAAGAUGGCAGUCAUUCAGUUGAUGCUUUUGCAUCAGUCAUGGGACCUAAAUAUCUAGGUCGCGUGAGAUUGUAUGGACAAGGGAUUACCAAGACUGUGUUAAAAGGGCAAAAAGGGAAUCUUGGAUAUUCUUUAGAUUCUACUGAUGAGAGGAAGCAGCAGAAAAUGGAGGAAAUAGAAGAGAGGAUGCAACAAAGAAUGCAUGAAAAGUUGAACAAACAAAAAGAUAAUAUGGAACAAAAUAUUACAACGAACGUCAUCGUACGACUUCAACGUCUGAACCCAGAUUUGCGACUUGAUCCUGACAUGUUAAGGUUCAGAGCACAUUCACCUGUAGAAGCUUCUUCUGCACAACAAGCUGUUGUUCAACUAAACAGUUGACCAUCUGUUGGUGGUAACAAUCAAGGUGGAGUAGAUCAAGAAAUGGAUGAUGAAUACAAUGAAGAACUAGACCUUACUUGAGAUGAAUUUUGAAUUGUUAUAUAUGAAUGUUCUAGGAAUCUUUUGUUACCAACAUUUUUGAAACUUAUUUACUCUCUUGAAAUGUACUAAACUUAUGCACUCAUGGGGUAGAACGUUUGCUUUAUGAAUAUUAUUUGCUUGAUAGAUAA